rnacentral:rRNA from 1 species
CCGGCGCACGGGUGAGUAACACGUAUGGAACCUGCCCUAUGCAGGGGGGAUAAGCGGAAGAAAUUCCGUCUAAUACCGCAUAACACCAUUUGGAGACAUCUCCAGGGGGUCAAAGGAGGCGACUCCGGCAUAGGAUGGCCAUGCGUCGCAUUAGCUAGUCGGCGGGGUAACGGCCCACCGAGGCGACGAUGCGUAGGGGUUCUGAGAGGAAGGUCCCCCACACUGGUACUGAGACGCGGACCAGACUCCUACGGGAGGCAGCAG